rnacentral:rRNA from 1 species
GCGGCCAGCACAAGUCNGUUGUGAAAUCUCCNAGCUUAACUCGGAAAGGUCAACUGAUACUGNGCGGCUAGAGUGCGGAAGGGGCAACUGGAAUUCUUGGUGUAGCGGUGAAAUGCGUAGAUAUCNAGAGGAACACCUGCGGCGAAGGCGGGUUGCUGGGCCGACACUGACGCUGAGGCGCGAAAGCUAGGGGAGCGAACNGGAUUAGAUACCCCGGUAGUCCUNGCCUUAAACGAUGAAUGCUUGGUGUCUGGGGUUAUANAGUCCCCGGGNGCCGUCGCUAACGCUUUAANCAUUCCGCCUGGGGAGUACGGUCGCAAGACUGAAACUC